AGUGAACGCUGGCGGUAGGCCUAACACAUGCAAGUCGAACGGCAGCACAGUAAGAGCUUGCUCUUACGGGUGGCGAGUGGCGGACGGGUGAGGAAUACAUCGGAAUCUACUUUUUCGUGGGGGAUAACGUAGGGAAACUUACGCUAAUACCGCAUACGACCUACGGGUGAAAGCAGGGGAUCUUCGGACCUUGCGCGAUUGAAUGAGCCGAUGUCGGAUUAGCUAGUUGGCGGGGUAAAGGCCCACCAAGGCGACGAUCCGUAGCUGGUCUGAGAGGAUGAUCAGCCACACUGGAACUGAGCCACGGUCCAGACUCCUACGGGAGGCAGCAGUGGGGAAUAUUGGCCAAUGGGCGCAAGCCUGAUCCAGCCAUACCGCGUGGGUGAAGAAGGCCUUCGGGUUGUAAAGCCCUUUUGUUGGGAAAGAAAAGCAGCAGGUUAAUACCCCGCUGUUCUGACGGUACCAAAAGAAUAAGCACCGGCUAACUUCGUG
rnacentral:rRNA from 1 species